UAAGACGUAGGGGGCCAGCGUUGUUCGGAAUUACUGGGUGUAAAGGGUUCGUAGGCGGUGCGGCAAGUUGGGAGUGAAAUCUCUGGGCUUAACCCAGAGGCUGCUUCCAAAACUGCUGUGCUUGAGUGUGGGAGAGGCGCGUGGAAUUGCAGGUGUAGCGGUGAAAUGCGUAGAUAUCUGCAGGAACACCCG
rnacentral:rRNA from 1 species